UCUGGAUNGGUAGUGUAUUGGACUACCAUGGCGCUCACGGGUAACGGAGAAUUAGGGUUCGAUUCCGGAGAGGGAGCCUGAGAAACGGCUACCACAUCUAAGGAAGGCAGCAGGCGCGUAAAUUACCCAAUCCUAAUUCAGGGAGGUAGUGACAAGAAAUAACAGGCCGGUGCUUCGCAUAGUGUUCGCAAUGAGUUUAGUUCAACACCCUUUUAUAGUAACAAUUGGAGGGCAAGUCUGGUGCCAGCAGCCGCGGUAAUUCCAGCUCCAAUAGCGUAUAUUAAAGUUGUUGCAGUUAAAAAGCUCGUAGUUGGAUUUCUGAAGGCGCGACAAUGUCCGCCGAUUGCGUGUGCAGCGUUGCUCUUUCAUCCUUCUGUUAACGUUUCUUGGCAUUCAGYUGCUGGUUUCGGGCUCAGAUAUUUUGCCUUGAGAAAAUUAGAGUGUUUCAGGCAGGCCUGUGCUGGAAUACAUUAGCAUGGAAUAAUGGAAAAGGCCUUUGGUCUCUUUUGUUGGUUUGAGGGCCCUCAGUAAUGAUUAAUAGGGAUAGUUGGGGGCAUUAGUAUUUAAUUGUCAGAGGUGAAAUUCUUAGAUKUGKUAAAGACU
rnacentral:rRNA from 1 species